rnacentral:rRNA from 1 species
GACAGAGGUCCCGAGCGUUAGGCGGAAUCACUGGGCUUAAAGCGUGUGUAGGCGGAUCGUUAAGUACCUUGUGAAAUCCCACGGCUCAACCGUGGAACUGCUGGGUAUACUGGCGGUCUUGAGCCACCUAGGGGCGAGCGGAACAAGCGGUGGAGCGGUGAAAUGCGUAGAUAUCGCUUGGAACGCCAACGGUGAAAACAGCUCGCUGGGGGUGUGCUGACGCUGAGACACGAAAGCCAGGGGAGCGAACGGG